UACAGAGGGGGCAAGCGUUGUUCGGAAUUACUGGGCGUAAAGGGCGCGUAGGCGGCCUGCUAAGUCGAACGUGAAAUCCCCAGGCUCAACCUGGGAACUGCGUCCGAUACUGACAGGCUUGAAUCCGGGAGAGGGAUGUGGAAUUCCAGGUGUAGCGGUGAAAUGCGUAGAUAUCGGAAGGAACAUCAGUGGCGAAAGCGACUUCCUGGACCAAUACUGACGCUCAUGUGCGAAAGCGUGGGGAGCAAACAGG
rnacentral:rRNA from 1 species